CCUUCGGGUCGUAAACUCCUUUCGAUCGAGACGAAUGGCCUCCGGGUGAAUAAUCCGGAGGAGUGACGGUACCGAGAGAAGAAGCCCCGGCUAACUCCGUGCCAGCAGCCGCGGUAAUACGGGGGGGGCAAGCGUUGUUCGGAAUUACUGGGCGUAAAGGGCUCGUAGGUGGCCAACUAAGUCAGACGUGAAAUCCCUCGGCUUAACCGGGGAACUGCAUCUGAUACUGGAUGGCUUGAGUUCGGGAGAGGGAUGCGGAAUUCCAGGUGUAGCGGUGAAAUGCGUAGAUAUCUGGAGGAACACCGGUGGCGAAGGCGGCAUCCUGGACCGACACUGACGCUGAGGAGCGAAAGCCAGGGGAGCAAACGGGAUUAGAUGCCCCGGUAGUCCUGGCCCUAAACGAUGAAUGCUUGGUGUGGCGGGUAUCGAUCCCUGCCGUGCCGAAGCUAACGCGAUAAGCAUUCCGCCUGGGGAGUACGGUCGCAAGGCUGAAACUCAAA
rnacentral:rRNA from 1 species